UAAUGCUUGGAUUAAAGGCGUGUGCCACCACCGCCCGGCUCAUUAUGAUAUUUUUAUACAUGUAUAUCAUGUAGCUUGGGAAAGGGCACUUUAAAAUGAAAGCUACAGGGUCUAGAGAGAUGGCUCAGCGGGGGAUUCUGUAAUGCUCCUGCAGAGGACCACAGCCAACCCGCAGUUCACAGUGACUGUAACUCCAGCUCCAGUGGAUCUGACCUCUUUGGGAAGCUGAAGUCAGAGAAUUGGAAAAGGACCCUUCCCUGAAUGUGGCCAAGCCCAGGGUUUUGGUAUCCCUGUUGUUCAUGGGGACCAGCUGGAAUGCCUUAGCAAUUACAAGUUCCACCCAAGACCAGACCUCUAUGUUGGGAAUAGAUGUCUGUACUGAAGACAGCUAUUGGAGGCCUCACCUAUACUGUAGAACUUGAGGACCACUGGGCGAGCACCAGCUACUUCAAGAGGAAGAUAGGCGUCAAAGAG